rnacentral:rRNA from 1 species
GCGUGCCUAAUACAUGCAAGUCGAGCGAGCGGAACCAACAGAUUUACUUCGGUAAUGACGUUGGGAAAGCGAGCGGCGGAUGGGUGAGUAACACGUGGGGAACCUGCCCCUAAGUCUGGGAUACCAUUUGGAAACAGGUGCUAAUACCGGAUAAUAAAGCAGAUCGCAUGAUCAGCUUUUGAAAGGCGGCGUAAGCUGUCGCUAAGGGAUGGCCCCGCGGUGCAUUAGCUAGUUGGUAAGGUAACGGCUUACCAAGGCGACGAUGCAUAGCCGAGUUGAGAGACUGAUCGGCCACAUUGGGACUGAGACACGGCCCAAACUCCUACGGGAGGCAGCAGUAGGGAAUCUUCCACAAUGGACGCAAGUCUGAUGGAGCAACGCCGCGUGAGUGAAGAAGGUUUUCGGAUCGUAAAGCUCUGUUGUUGGUGAAGAAGGAUAGAGGUAGUAACUGGCCUUUAUUUGACGGUAAUCAACCAGAAAGUCACGGCUAACUACGUGCCAGCAGCCGCGGUAAUACGUAGGUGGCAAGCGUUGUCCGGAUUUAUUGGGCGUAAAGCGAGCGCAGGCGGAAAAAUAAGUCUAAUGUGAAAGCCCUCGGCUUAACCGAGGAACUGCAUCGGAAACUGUUUUUCUU